rnacentral:rRNA from 1 species
GUCAAAAGAAUCAUACGGUAUGUUAAGCACAUUGUGGGUUUGGGACUACAUUUCAGACGUUUCAAUUCUACACUUGUUAGUGCUUUUUCUGAUGCAGACUGGACAGGCUGCAGUGAUGAUAGAAAAUCAACAGGUGGGUUUGCUGUUUUCUUUGGUUCUAAUCUUAUUUCGUGGAGUGCCAGGAAACAAGCAACAGUGUCAAGAUCAAGUACUGAAGCUGAGUACAAGUCACUGGCAAAUGCUACUGCUGAAAUUAUUUGGCUUGAAUCUUUGCUUGAGGAAUUGGGUGUGAAGCAACAUCGUAUUUCAUGCCUAUGGUGUGAUAAUUUGGGUGCUACUUAUUUAAGUGCCAAUCAUGUUUUUCAUGCCAGGACCAAGCAUAUUGAGAUAGAUUUUCACUUUGUACGAGAAAGAGUUGCAGAGAAGAAGUUGGAGAUACGGUUUAUUCCUUCCAGAGAUCAAGUGGCUGAUGGGUUCACUAAAGCUCUACUAUACAAGCCAUUUGAAGCAUUCAAGAACAAUCUCAAUCUAGAAUAG